UACGUAGGUGGCAAGCGUUGUCCGGAUUUACUGGGUGUAAAGGGCGUGCAGCCGGGCUGACAAGCCAGAUGUGAAAUCCCGCGGCUCAACCGCGGAACUGCAUUUGAAACUGUCAGUCUUGAGUACCGGAGAGGUCAUCGGAAUUCCUUGUGUAGCGGUGAAAUGCGUAGAUAUAAGGAAGAACACCAGUGGCGAAGGCGGAUGACUGGACGGCAACUGACGGUGAGGCGCGAAAGCGUGGGGAGCAAACAGG
rnacentral:rRNA from 1 species